AGCGAACGCUGGCGGCAGGCUUAACACAUGCAAGUCGAACGGGCACCUUCGGGUGUCAGUGGCAGACGGGUGAGUAACACGUGGGAACGUACCCUUCGGUUCGGAAUAACUCUGGGAAACUAGAGCUAAUACCGGAUACGCCCUUUUGGGGAAAGGUUUACUGCCGAAGGAUCGGCCCGCGUCUGAUUAGCUAGUUGGUGGGGUAACGGCCUACCAAGGCGACGAUCAGUAGCUGGUCUGAGAGGAUGAUCAGCCACACUGGGACUGAGACACGGCCCAGACUCCUACGGGAGGCAGCAGUGGGGAAUAUUGGACAAUGGGCGCAAGCCUGAUCCAGCCAUGCCGCGUGAGUGAUGAAGGCCUUAGGGUUGUAAAGCUC
rnacentral:rRNA from 1 species